rnacentral:rRNA from 13 species
AGGAAAUAGCCUCCACAUCAGAUCGUACCCGAAACCGACACAGGUGGACUGGUAGAGUAUACCAAGGCGCUUGAGAGAACUAUGUUGAAGGAACUCGGCAAUUUACCUCCGUAACUUCGGGAUAAGGAGGCCCAUUGCUCGCGCAAGCGGGCAGUGGGGGCACAGACCAGGGGGUGGCAACUGUUUAACAAAAACACAGGGCUCUGCGAAAUCGCAAGAUGACGUAUAGGGUCUGACGCCUGCCCGGUGCCGGAAGGUUAAGAG